UCUAUGUCGGCGACCGGCGCACGGGUGCGUAACGCGUAUGCAACCUACCCAUUACAGGGGGAUAACACUGAGAAAUCGGUACUAAUACCCCAUAACAUCCGAGGGAGGCAUCUUCUUGGGUUGAAAACUCCGGUGGUAAUGGAUGGGCAUGCGUUGUAUUAGUUAGUUGGUGGGGUAACGGCUCACCAAGACAACGAUACAUAGGGGGACUGACGAGGUUAACCCCCCACAUUGGUACUGAGACACGGACCAAACUCCUACGGAAGGCAGCAG
rnacentral:rRNA from 1 species